GACGAACGCUGGCGGCGUGCUUAACACAUGCAAGUCGAACGGGAAGGCCCCAGCUUGCUGGGGUACACGAGUGGCGAACGGGUGAGUAACACGUGGGUGACCUGCCCUUCACUUCGGGAUAAGCCUAGGAAACUGGGUCUAAUACCGGAUAGGAGCUCACCCUGCAGGUUGGGUGGAAGGUAUUUUCGGGGGUGGGGGGGGGCGCCGCCUGUCAUCUUGUUGGUGGUGUAAUGGCCUACCAAGGCGGCGACGGGUAGCCGGCCUGAGCGGGUGGCCGGCCACAUUGGGACUGAGACACGGCCCAGACUCCUACGGGAGGCAGCAGUGGGGAAUAUUGCACAAUGGGCGGAAGCCUGAUGCAGCGACGCCGCGUGGGGGAUGACGGCCUUCGGGUUGUAAACUCCUUUCACCUUAGACGAAGGGUUUAUGACGGUAGAGGGAGAAGAAGCACCGGCUAACUCCGUG
rnacentral:rRNA from 1 species